AUACUUACCUGGUACGGGAGGUGGCCGUUCUCAGCAUCGGUUCUCCCAGGGUGAGGCCUUUCCAUUGCACCUUGGUUUGGCUGACCCCUGCGAUCACCGCCAUGGAUAGGUGACUCGAGUACGUAAUUUAUAAGUGUGGGAUUUGCGUCCGCGCUAACCCUGA
rnacentral:snRNA from 1 species